AGAAAAGUACUCAAAACAGUCAAAUAUGAAUGAAACUGAUUCACUGGUUCUUCAGAUAUCAUGCUAACAAAGGUGGCAAUGACAACAUUUUGAAUAUCUCACUGUGACCUUGAAAUUGACCCAAGGUCACCGUAAUUGACUGGUGUCGGGGAUCAC